UACGUAGGGUGCAAGCGUUAAUCGGAAUUACUGGGCGUAAAGCGUGCGCAGGCGGUUGUGCGAGACAGAUGUGAAAUCCCCGGGCUCAACCUGGGAACUGCAUUUGUGACUGCACGGCUAGAGUGUGUCAGAGGGGGGUAGAAUUCCACGUGUAGCAGUGAAAUGCGUAGAUAUGUGGAGGAAUACCGAUGGCGAAGGCAGCCCCCUGGGAUAACACUGACGCUCAUGCACGAAAGCGUGGGGAGCAAACAGG
rnacentral:rRNA from 1 species